AGGACACGCUGGCGGCGUGCCUAAUACAUGCAAGUCGAACGGUCUUUUCUAUGGAAGCUUGCUUCCACUGAGAAGAUAGUGGCGAACGGGUGAGUAACACGUGGGUAACCUGCCCAUAAGAGGGGGAUAACAUCCGGAAACGGGUGCUAAUACCGCAUAGUUUUCUUGAUCGCAUGAUCGGGAAAGGAAAGACGGCCUUUGUGCUGUCGCUUAUGGAUGGACCCGCGGCGUAUUAGUUAGUUGGUGAGGUAACGGCUCACCAAGACGAUGAUACGUAGCCGACCUGAGAGGGUGAUCGGCCACAUUGGGACUGAGACACGGCCCAAACUCCUACGGGAGGCAGCAGUAGGGAAUCUUCCGCAAUGGACGAAAGUCUGACGGAGCAACGCCGCGUGAGUGAAGAAAGGUUUUCGGAUCGUAAAACUCUGUUGUCAGAGAAGAACAAGUUGGAGAGUAACUGCUCCAGCCUUGACGGUAUCUGACCAGAAAGCCACGGCUAACUACGUGCCAGCCGCAGC
rnacentral:rRNA from 1 species